GACAGAGGGUGCAAACGUUGUUCGGAAUUACUGGGCGUAAAGCGCGUGUAGGCGGCUAUGCAAGUCGGAUGUGAAAGCCCUCGGCUCAACCGGGGAAGUGCACCCGAAACUGCAAAGCUAGAGUCUCGGAGAGGAUCGUGGAAUUCUCGGUGUAGAGGUGAAAGUUCGUAAGAUAUCGAGAGGAACACCGGUGGCGAAGGCGGCGAUCGGAACGUGAC
rnacentral:rRNA from 1 species